GACGAACGCUGGCGGCGUGCUUAACACAUGCAAGUCGAACGGAAAGGCCCUGCUUGCCGGGUACUCGAGUGGCGAACGGGUGAGUAACACGUGGGUGAUCUGCCCUUCACUUCGGGAUAAGCCUGGGAAACUGGGUCUAAUACCGGAUAGGAGCCAUUUUUAGUGUGAUGGUUGGAAAGUUUUUUCGGUGUAGGAUGAGCUCGCGGCCUAUCAGCUUGUUGGUGGGGUAAUGGCCUACCAAGGCGGCGACGGGUAGCCGGCCUGAGAGGGUGGACGGCGACAUUGGGACUGAGAGAAGGCCCAGACGCCUACGGGAGGCAGCAGUGGGGAAUAUUGCACAAGGGGUGCAAGCCUGAUGCAGCGGCGCCGCGUGGGGGAUGACGGCCUUCGGGUUGUAAAAACCUUUCGCUAGGGACGAAGCUUUUUGUGACGGUACCUAGAGAAGAAGCACCGGCUAACUACGUG
rnacentral:rRNA from 1 species